GGGCGUGACACUUCCCCCAAACCGAGUGAGAUGGAGUACAUUUGUCAAUGGCCUAUGCUCCUCAUAGGAGCCAAAGGCUUAGGUCAAUUGAGCUUUGCGCCAGAGGCCACGAGGAUCUGUAGGAUCUUGAGGCGACCAAACCAGGCUGCCAGCAGCAGA